UGCACAAACACACACACACACAUAUUAAAGAAAUAUGAGAAAUUUAAAGUUUUCUAGCGCUAUUCAUCUCAUUUUAUGUUACAUUAUUCUUUUAUUAUCAGGGGAGAUGAUGAAAUUUUCGAGCGUGAAUGCAAAGGAUGACUGUAAGGAAGGGCUUCCAUGGGUGCCGGUGAUAUGCAAUAGAAGCCAAGUGAACCAACCCUGCUGGGACGCCUGUAUCCAGCGUCAUGGAUCCAGCGUCAGGGCUGAGUGCCACAGCCUCGAACCCGGCCUCAUUACCGAAGUCUGCUUUUGCUACUGGCCUUGCUGACUUUAUUUACAUCUCAAUAUUAAUAAAUAAAUUUAUGAUGAGCUUAUCAUGUAAGAAUAGCCUCUAAUUAAUGUGAAUUUAUGAUUGGAUCAUGACUUUACUCAUUCAGCUGUUGCAUUUUAAUGAAAUAAAAUAUUCUUCUUCAUGAAA